UGUAUCUUAGUAUAUGACGUAUGGAGGUUUUUGAAACCUAGAGAAGCAGUUUAAUUCUGCUAGAUACAA
rnacentral:tRNA from 1 species